rnacentral:rRNA from 1 species
GAUGAACGCUGGCGGCGUGCUUAACACAUGCAAGUCGAACGAGAAAUGUAGACGGAAACCUUCGGGCGGAAGCCUUCAUUUCGAGUGGCGGACGGGUGAGUAACGCGUGGGUAACCUGCCUCAUACAGGGGGAUAACAGUUGGAAACGACUGUUAAUACCGCAUAAGACCACAGCAUCGCAUGAUGCGGGGGUAAACACUCCGGUGGUAUGAGAUGGACCCGCGUUCGAUUAGCCAGUUGGCGGGGUAACGGCCCACCAAAGCGACGAUCGAUAGCCGAUCUGAGAGGAUGACCGGCCACAUUGGGACUGAGACACGGCCCAAACUCCUACGGGAGGCAGCAGUGGGGAAUAUUGCACAAUGGGGGAAACCCUGAUGCAGCGACGCCGCGUGAGUGAAGAAGUACUUCGGUAUGUAAAGCUCUAUCAGCAGGGAAGAAAAUGACGGUACCUGAGUAAGAAGCCCCGGCUAACUACGUG